AGAUCUUCUCGCUCAUUUCAUGCAGCAGUUUACGCUCAUCUAGCACAAUAGUCCCCAAACUGUGAUUCACGGCAUGCUAGAUUUACACAAAAAUGAAGCCUUUCAAGAUACAGCUGGUUCCAGAAAUACUUCCUAUUAUGUGGACCUCCUGGAGAUGCACAAUGUACCACAGACUCUGAGCAGCCCUGCGGAAUUAGAAUUCCUUGUCCACUUCAGGCUGGUUGAGACCACCAACUCAUCGACUGGGCCCGCGCAGAUGUCCAAUAGGCGACCUUUUGACGACAAGAGAAUAAAACCUGCACCCUCAGAUCAUGCUAACGCCGCCAUUUUGUGAACAUGGGUCCUAUGAAGAGGCAAGAAGUCUGACUACACAGACUAUCACCUCCAAUCACCUCUCUCCACAUUUCGGACCACCUUGCCCCCCAUCCCAUAAAUAUCCCUGAGUCCCUAUUUUCGGGGAAGCGAAUUUGAGGCUCAUGUUCUCGCUUCCUCGUGUGGCUGCCUUGUGAGUAAACCCUCUCUCUGCUGCAAUCUCAUUGUCCUGGUGUUUGGCUUUCUGGGCGGUGGGCAAAAACGAACCUGGUUCAGUAACAAAAGCAGACAGGUUCCAAGAACCAACACUAUUUGCAUUUUGCUGGUGCACGUGAGUGUGGUUCAAAUCAGGUGGCUUUCCAAAAAAUUUUGCUCAUUUAUUUUUUUCUGAAAGUAUAAUCGCUCUAAUGUGUUGCAUUUACAUAGCGCCUUUCAUCGCGCACCAUCUCAAAUGUUU
rnacentral:lncRNA from 1 species